AUAAUGGCUGGCUCUCAGUGUUUAUUUUGCUGAUAUAUUUUUUCUCUUUCUGGUACCAGGGAUGGAACUCAGGACCUUGUGCUUGCUAGGCACGCAUGGCACCACUGAGCUAAAUCCCCAGCCCUAUUUUUUUUUGAGGUUUUUAAUCCAUUUUGCUGCUACUUAAACAGAAUCCUUUCUACCUCAUUAUUUUUCUUAUACACAAGAUGACUAAUAAUUUUUGCACAAAAGUUAUGUACCAGGAGUUCACAGCUAAGAGUUUGCCUUGAGCCUCAGAAGAGACUUUGGACUUGGAGUAUUCAGCACUGCUAAAACUGUUAAAAUUUUAACAAUUCUUAGAGGGAUGGACUAAAUGUAUUUUGCAUAAUGAGAUAUGAUUGUGCAGCCCUUAUAUGAAGACCUAGACCGAAAGAAAUCAGAAUGUGAGGCCUGAGAAGACUUUCCCAAGGUUGGCUAUAUGAGCUACUAAUUCUUAAGGAAUCUACUAAGAGGAUGAAGAGCUGGUUAGGAGUUUUGAAAUCCUUGUGAAGUUGGCAGAGACAUUGGAGUACACAGACUUCCAAGAACUUUGGGACCCAGAGGGCUGCUUGGUUCAUGCUUGGAGAAAAGCACUCCAGCCUAUUCUCUCCUGGUGGGAUGAGAAGAACACGGUUGCAGUGGAUGAAGGUGGACUGUGGAUGGAAAUGGAACUGACAGCCACUAUAAAGUUUUAAAAAGGCACUGCAAAAGCUCCAAGGGGUGGGCGCUGCCUGUCUCAGGAGACGUCCUUGGUACCAGCAUCUUUUUCUUCAGACCUGCCAUCUGUUCCAGUGAAUAAUUCUACCAACCACGUUUUCCAUGAUUUGCCUCAUUAUGUCUCCACGUCCUUUACACACAUAGAACAUGAUGUCUGGCACACUGAAUAAGCUGUCUACUAGACAUUAUGGCAACAUGUAAUCAACAAGGUCAACCUGAGAAACAGUAGUGGAAUGGAGGGUCAGAAAGAUGGCUUUGCUCCUAAGAUGCAGAUCCUUGAUCCUUCGACCAUCUCUAGCCCUUGCUGAGCACAGCUGUAUAAAGAUUUGAGGGGGAUCAAACUCAGAACCUUGCACUCGUGAGGCAGGCGACAGCACCACUGAGGCUUACAAUGGCUGCCUGAAGAGUCAGAUGUGGAAGAAUGCAAAGGGAUGUCUGCAUGUUGGAGAUCCAAGGAUCCACUCAAAAGUCAAAAGCCUGGAAAUCACUACAGAGUCCUGCGUGAGUCCAUAUCAGGAAGCAGAAGA
rnacentral:lncRNA from 1 species